CGUAGGGGGCGAGCGUUGUCCGGAUUUACUGGGCGUAAAGCGCGUGUAGGCGGUCCAUUAAGUUGGGUGUGAAAGCCCGGGGGCUCAACCCCGGGAUGCCGCCCAAGACUGGUGGACUUGAGGCUGGAAGAGGGGAGUGGAAUUCCUGGUGUAGCGGUGAAAUGCGUAGAGAUCAGGAGGAACACCCGUGGCGAAGGCGGCUCCCCGGUCCGGUUCUGACGCUGAGACGCGAAAGCGCGGGGAGCGAACGGGAUUAGAUACCCCGGUAGUCCGCGCCGUAAACGAUGGUCACUAGGUGUGCGUGGUAUCGACCCCACGCGUGCCGGCGCUAACGCAUUAAGUCCGCCGCCUGGGGACUACGGCCGCAAGGCUA
rnacentral:rRNA from 1 species